rnacentral:rRNA from 1 species
AGCGAACGCUGGCGGCAGGCCUAACACAUGCAAGUCGAACGAAGUCUUCGGACUUAGUGGCGGACGGGUGAGUAACACGUGGGAACGUGCCUUUAGGUUCGGCAUAACUCAGCGAAACUUGUGCUACUACCGAAUGUGCCCUUCGGGGGAGAGAUUUAUCGCCUUUAGAGCGGCCCGCGUCUGAUUAGCUAGUUGGGGAGGUAAAGGCUCACAAAGGGGACGAUCAGUAGCUGGUCUGAGAGGAUGAUCAGCCACAUUGGGACUGAGACACGGCCCAAACUCCUACGGGAGGCAGCAGGGGGGAAUCUUGCGCAAUGGGCGAAAGCCUGACGCAGCCAUGCCGCGUGAAUGAUGAAGGUCUUAGGAUUGUAAAAUUCUUUCACCGGGGACGAUUAUGACGGUACCCGGAGAAGAAGCCCCGGCUAACUUCGUGCCAGCCGCCGCCGUAAUAC